rnacentral:rRNA from 1 species
UUUAGAGUUUGAUCCAUGGCUCAGAUUGAACGCUGGCGGCAGGCCUAACACAUGCAAGUCGAGCGGAAACGAUCCUAGCUUGCUAGGAGGCGUCGAGCGGCGGACGGGUGAGUAAUGCAUAGGAAUCUGCCCGGUAGUGGGGGAUAACGUGGGGAAACUCACGCUAAUACCGCAUACGCCCUACGGGGGAAAGCAGGGGAUCUUCGGACCUUGCGCUAUCGGAUGAGCCUAUGUCGGAUUAGCUUGUUGGUGAGGUAAUGGCUCACCAAGGCGACGAUCCGUAGCUGGUCUGAGAGGAUGAUCAGCCACACUGGGACUGAGACACGGCCCAGACUCCUACGGGAGGCAGCAGUGGGGAAUAUUGGACAAUGGGGGAAACCCUGAUCCAGCCAUGCCGCGUGUGUGAAGAAGGCUUUCGGGUUGUAAAGCACUUUCAGCGACGAAGAAGGCCUGACGGUUAAUACCUGUCAGGAAGGACAUCACUCGCAGAAGAAGCACCGCAA